rnacentral:rRNA from 1 species
UUCUGGGAGGAUUGGCAGAUUGAGAGCUCUUUCUUGAUUCGGUGGAUGGUGGUGCAUGUCCGUUCUUAGUUGGUGGAGUGAUUUCUCUGGUUAAUUCCGAUAACGAACGAGACUCUAGCCUAUUAAAUAGGUGCGUGGUUUUCUGCACCUUGCAUCCUUCUUAAGGCCGGUUCAGACACUUGCGUUUGACUGCGUUGCGUCGAAAACCGAAAGCGAGUCACCGGCACAUGUGUGCUGGUGACUCGCUUUCGGGUGUGGAAUCCAAUUCGUGGAAUCGUCUUGGCACGCGAUAUAAGCAGCAGGAAUGUCCUGGUUUCUCGCUGCCGCAACGCAGUCAAACGCAGUCAGACGCAACUGUCUGAACCAGGCUUUAGAGGGACAAGCGGCUCCUAGCCGCACGAACCAGAGCAAUAACAGGUCUGUGAUGCCCUUAGAU